GAUCCUGGCUCAGGAUGAACGCUGGCGGCGUGCUUAACACAUGCAAGUCGAACGAAGCACUCUACUUGAUCUCUUCGGAGUGAUUGUUUUGUGACUGAGUGGCGGACGGGUGAGUAACGCGUGGGUAACCUGCCUCAUACAGGGGGAUAACAGUUGGAAACGACUGCUAAUACCGCAUAAGCGCACAGGGUCGCAUGACCUGGUGUGAAAAACUCCGGUGGUAUGAGAUGGACCCG
rnacentral:rRNA from 1 species